CACGUAGGGUGCGAGCGUUGUCCGGAAUUAUUGGGCGUAAAGAGCUCGUAGGCGGUGUGUCGCGUCGGCCGUGAAAACUUGCAGCUUAACUGUGGGCGUGCGGUCGAUACGGGCAUCACUGGAGUUCGGCAGGGGAGACUGGAAUUCCUGGUGUAGCGGUGAAAUGCGCAGAUAUCAAGAGGAAUACCAGAGGUGAAGACGGGUUGCUAGGCUGACACUGACGCUGAGGCGCGAAAGCCAGGGGAGCAAACGGG
rnacentral:rRNA from 1 species